rnacentral:misc_RNA from 1 species
GAUGAAGAACGUAGCGAAAUGCGAUAAGUAAUGCGAAUUGCAGAAUUCAGUGAGUCAUCGAAUCUUUGAACGCACAUUGCGCCCUGUGGUAUUCCGCAGGGCAUGCCUGUUCGAGCGUCAUUUCAACCCUCAAGCCUCGCUUGGUGUUGGGCCCUGCCCGCCGCGGCCGGCCCUAAAGAUAGUGGCGGCGCCGCCUGGCCCUCAGCGUAGUACAGCUCUCGCUCCAGGGUCCGGCGGCAGCCUGCCAGAACCCCCCAACUCUGUGGUUGACCUCGGAUCAGGUAUGGAUACCCGCUGAACUUAAGCAUAUCAAUAAGCGGAGGA